GCUGACAUCACAAACACAAACAUACCCCUAAAAUAAAACAAAACAUUUGACAAACCAAGUAGAUGUGAUCGAACAGUAAAUUUACCACACAAGUACCGCAAGGGAAUAUAACCAAAGCAACCAACAGCAAAGACUAACCCUUGUACCUUUUGCAUCAUGGUCUAGCAAGAAACCAAGACAAGAAGAAUCAUAGCCUCACACCCCGAAACCAGAUGAGCUACUUUAAAGCAGCCUAAUGGGCACACCCUUCUCUGUAGCAAAAGAGUGGGAAGACUUAAAAGUAGCGGUGAAACGCCUACCGAAUCUGGAGAUAGCUGGCUGCCCAAAAAAGAAUCUAAGUUCAACCUUAGACCACAACAAUAACCCAUUAUCAUCUAAGGACAAUCAAUAGGGGUACAGCCCUAUUGAAACAGGAUACAACCUGAAUUUGAGAGGAAUCCAACCUAACAUACCCCAGUAGGCCUUAAAGCAGCCACCUAAUAAAAUAUCGUUAAAGAAUUAAAUCAAAAAUUCAAACAUCAACUAAAAACUCCAAAAUAACUAAAGGCAGACCCAUAUUUAUGGGUUCUAUUAUGCUAGAACUAAUAAUAAGACAGCCUCUCUAUAUGCACCUAUCCACUAGACCCGGAUAAACCACUAGUAAUUAACAGACCACAAUAGGCAUAAACAAAACAAUACACACCUAAAACACACUGUGACCCCAACACAGGAGCAUAAAAAAGAAAGAUUAACCAUUAUAAAAGGAACUCGGCAAACAAAGACCCCAACUGUUUAACAAAAACAUAACCUUUAGAUGAACAAAUAUUAAAGGCAACGCCUGCCCAGUGAAUAAUUAAACGGCCGCGGUACCCUAACCGUGCAAAGGUAGCGUAAUCAUUUGUCUACUAAUUAUAGACCAGUAUGAAAGGCAAAAUGAGGGUCUAACUGUCUCUUAUAAUAAAUCAAUGAAACUGAUCUCCUAGUAAAAAAGCUAGAAUAUCCCCAUAAGACCAGAAGACCCUGUGAAGCUUAAAUUAAACUAUUAAUACACAUAAUAGCUACUUUCGGUUGGGGCGACCUUGGAAAAAAAAAGAACUUCCAAACACCAUGAACUAUACUUCAUACAACCAGGCCUACAAGCCAAUAAACGACCCAGCACAGCUGAGAAAUGAACCAAGUUACUCCAGGGAUAACAGCGCAAUCUUCUUCAAGAGCCCAUAUCAAAAAGAAGGUUUACGACCUCGAUGUUGGAUCAGGACAUCCUAAUGGUGCAGCCGCUAUUAAGGGUUCGUUUGUUCAACGAUUAACAGUCCUACGUGAUCUGAGUUCAGACCGGAGUAAUCCAGGUCGGUUUCUAUCUAUGAUUCGUCCCACCUAGUACGAAAGGACCGGUGUGACAAAGCCCAUACUAAAAGCAAGCUUUAAAAUAACUUUAACAAUCUAAUCACCCCAAACCUAGACAAGGUUAAUUAAGAAUCACCUUA
rnacentral:rRNA from 1 species